CAUAUAAAUACAUCUAUAAGUGCUCGAUAGUAUUCGAGAUAAUAGGGAAAUCGGUGUGAAUCCGAUACAGCCCCCGCUACUGUAAUAGCUGAUGAAAUCGUAAAAGCCACUAGUAUAACUGGGAAGGUGCGAAAGUAAGAAGAAGCUUAAGUCAGGAAACCUGCUUAGUUGAUGGCAUGCAA
rnacentral:ncRNA from 2 species